ACUAAGCGUACACGGUGGAUGCCCUGGCAGUCAGAGGCGAUGAAGGACGUGCUAAUCUGCGAUAAGCGUCGGUGAGGUGAUAUGAACCGUUAUAACCGGCGAUUUCCGAAUGGGGAAACCCAGUGUGUUUCGACACACUAUCAUUAACUGAAUCCAUAGGUUAAUGAGGCGAACCGGGGGAACUGAAACAUCUAAGUACCCCGAGGAAAAGAAAUCAACCGAGAUUCCCCCAGUAGCGGCGAGCGAACGGGGAGGAGCCCAGAGCCUGAAUCAGUGUGUGUGUUAGUGGAAGCGUCUGGAAAGGCGCGCGAUACAGGGUGACAGCCCCGUACACAAAAAUGCACAUAUUGUGAGCUCGAUGAGUAGGGCGGGACACGUGGUAUCCUGUCUGAAUAUGGGGGGACCAUCCUCCAAGGCUAAAUACUCCUGACUGACCGAUAGUGAACCAGUACCGUGAGGGAAAGGCGAAAAGAACCCCGGCGAGGGGAGUGAAAAAGAACCUGAAACCGUGUACGUACAAGCAGUGGGAGCCUCUUUAUGGGGUGACUGCGUACCUUUUGUAUAAUGGGUCAGCGACUUAUAUUCUGUAGCAAGGUUAACCGAAUAGGGGAGCCGAAGGGAAACCGAGUCUUAACUGGGCGUUAAGUUGCAGGGUAUAGACCCGAAACCCGGUGAUCUAGCCAUGGGCAGGUUGAAGGUUGGGUAACACUAACUGGAGGACCGAACCGACUAAUGUUGAAAAAUUAGCGGAUGACUUGUGGCUGGGGGUGAAAGGCCAAUCAAACCGGGAGAUAGCUGGUUCUCCCCGAAAGCUAUUUAGGUAGCGCCUCGUGAAUUCAUCUCCGGGGGUAGAGCACUGUUUCGGCAAGGGGGUCAUCCCGACUUACCAACCCGAUGCAAACUGCGAAUACCGGAGAAUGUUAUCACGGGAGACACACGGCGGGUGCUAACGUCCGUCGUGAAGAGGGAAACAACCCAGACCGCCAGCUAAGGUCCCAAAGUCAUGGUUAAGUGGGAAACGAUGUGGGAAGGCCCAGACAGCCAGGAUGUUGGCUUAGAAGCAGCCAUCAUUUAAAGAAAGCGUAAUAGCUCACUGGUCGAGUCGGCCUGCGCGGAAGAUGUAACGGGGCUAAACCAUGCACCGAAGCUGCGGCAGCGACACUAUGUGUUGUUGGGUAGGGGAGCGUUCUGUAAGCCUGUGAAGGUGGCCUGUGAGGGUUGCUGGAGGUAUCAGAAGUGCGAAUGCUGACAUAAGUAACGAUAAAGCGGGUGAAAAGCCCGCUCGCCGGAAGACCAAGGGUUCCUGUCCAACGUUAAUCGGGGCAGGGUGAGUCGACCCCUAAGGCGAGGCCGAAAGGCGUAGUCGAUGGGAAACAGGUUAAUAUUCCUGUACUUGGUGUUACUGCGAAGGGGGGACGGAGAAGGCUAUGUUGGCCGGGCGACGGUUGUCCCGGUUUAAGCGUGUAGGCUGGUUUUCCAGGCAAAUCCGGAAAACCAAGGCUGAGGCGUGAUGACGAGGCACUACGGUGCUGAAGCGACAAAUGCCCUGCUUCCAGGAAAAGCCUCUAAGCAUCAGGUAACAUCAAAUCGUACCCCAAACCGACACAGGUGGUCAGGUAGAGAAUACCAAGGCGCUUGAGAGAACUCGGGUGAAGGAACUAGGCAAAAUGGUGCCGUAACUUCGGGAGAAGGCACGCUGAUAUGUAGGUGAAGCGACUUGCUCGUGGAGCUGAAAUCAGUCGAAGAUACCAGCUGGCUGCAACUGUUUAUUAAAAACACAGCACUGUGCAAACACGAAAGUGGACGUAUACGGUGUGACGCCUGCCCGGUGCCGGAAGGUUAAUUGAUGGGGUUAGCGGUAACGCGAAGCUCUUGAUCGAAGCCCCGGUAAACGGCGGCCGUAACUAUAACGGUCCUAAGGUAGCGAAAUUCCUUGUCGGGUAAGUUCCGACCUGCACGAAUGGCGUAAUGAUGGCCAGGCUGUCUCCACCCGAGACUCAGUGAAAUUGAACUCGCUGUGAAGAUGCAGUGUACCCGCGGCAAGACGGAAAGACCCCGUGAACCUUUACUAUAGCUUGACACUGAACAUUGAGCCUUGAUGUGUAGGAUAGGUGGGAGGCUUUGAAGUGUGGACGCCAGUCUGCAUGGAGCCGACCUUGAAAUACCACCCUUUAAUGUUUGAUGUUCUAACGUUGGCCCGUAAUCCGGGUUGCGGACAGUGUCUGGUGGGUAGUUUGACUGGGGCGGUCUCCUCCUAAAGAGUAACGGAGGAGCACGAAGGUUGGCUAAUCCUGGUCGGACAUCAGGAGGUUAGUGCAAUGGCAUAAGCCAGCUUGACUGCGAGCGUGACGGCGCGAGCAGGUGCGAAAGCAGGUCAUAGUGAUCCGGUGGUUCUGAAUGGAAGGGCCAUCGCUCAACGGAUAAAAGGUACUCCGGGGAUAACAGGCUGAUACCGCCCAAGAGUUCAUAUCGACGGCGGUGUUUGGCACCUCGAUGUCGGCUCAUCACAUCCUGGGGCUGAAGUAGGUCCCAAGGGUAUGGCUGUUCGCCAUUUAAAGUGGUACGCGAGCUGGGUUUAGAACGUCGUGAGACAGUUCGGUCCCUAUCUGCCGUGGGCGCUGGAGAACUGAGGGGGGCUGCUCCUAGUACGAGAGGACCGGAGUGGACGCAUCACUGGUGUUCGGGUUGUCAUGCCAAUGGCACUGCCCGGUAGCUAAAUGCGGAAGAGAUAAGUGCUGAAAGCAUCUAAGCACGAAACUUGCCCCGAGAUGAGUUCUCCCUGAGACUUAGAGUCUCCUGAAGGAACGUUGAAGACGACGACGUUGAUAGGCCGGGUGUGUAAGCGCAGCGAUGCGUUGAGCUAACCGGUACUAAUGAACCGUGAGGCUUNNNN
rnacentral:rRNA from 1 species